rnacentral:lncRNA from 1 species
UCGGGUGGUAUUUCCAACCUUCUCAAUGAAGUAAGAACUUUUCUCGUUGACAUGUAUGUAGUCUAUGCAUAUGAAAUUUUGAACUGAGAAUGUGUAUUUAAAUCAAACUAUCUUUCUUGCUGUAGGAUUUCAUUGGAGAGGAUGCUGUCAUGGAUGGAUAAUGACACUUAUGUUGGUUAACCCAACCUACACGCGAGAUUUUUUCGCAUGUGUGUUGGGAACUUUUAAUUGGCCAUUCCCUUGUUCUUGCACACUGUACCUUGAAACUAUGUGAAUUACUGUAGUCUAGUUAGAAGUACAGUCGUGUCGGGGCUUCUAUUUUACUCU